GGGAUUUUGGAGAUCAACAUCCCACCAGCUGGGGACGAUAAAGAUUCCAUCCCUGUUGGCUGCUGGGAUGGAGGUGGACAGCGGUGAAAGUAGGCAGGAAGGCUGUUAGAACUAGAAGAGGAGCUUUUCCAAAGGCACGGAUGCCCCUUUCCUGGCUGGGAAGCAUGAUCAUCACUAUCUAGCUUUAUCAACUGGCCCUUCUCUUGAAUUGGAAAAAUCACCUAGGUAACAUAUUACUUAUAGUUGUUUCUGAAGAGAUCUUGGCGCAAACUCCUGCAGUGUGUCGAACCCCAUCGUCACACUGUGCACUGUGGAUCCAGGCCAUGCCAGAGGGCGAAUGCUGACUCACAAAGGGAAACCAAGAGAACUGCCAGCCUCAAGUCAGCUGUGAACGUGCUUUUCCUCAGUCCCGCGCGCCCAGGACCCGGAGGCUCAGGCAGCUAGUGAGGCUUCUUCUCUGCGUGUCAGUCAGAGGAAGGGCACAGGGACACCUCGCAGCCUGACCUCCACCACCACUGAGUCACAUUCACUCAACACGUGAAAAUCCAAUGGAAAUAAUAAAUGGGUGAUAGAACCUUUUACAAGAAAUAGAAAAUCUAGCAGGACUUUUGAGGAUGGUAGGAAAACGAGCUCUCGGAUAACGUGGUUUAUGUUCCUUUCCCUUUUGUUUUUGUUGCAGUUUUCUUUUUUCUGCCUUAGGAGGCAUUUGUGAUUUGUAUGUUCUGUAGAAAAGAGGAGCAUGGAAAUUCUAAAUAUGUUCCAGGAAUUUUCAGUGUCACUAUUUCUGAAAAACGGAAGCCAGUUUUUAAAAAUGGUAAAUGGUGCUCAAGUCACAUUCUGCUUUAAAAGUUUGUAACAAAUACAGACGAAUUGAAAAGAAAAAAAAAGAUAAAUGCAGUACAUGCAUUAAAAAAUUUCAAAUAGUUGAGAAGGAUAUAAAAGAUGAAAAUAAAUUUUUCUUUUAUGCCUCCUCUACCUAAA